rfam:Stereum hirsutum FP-91666 SS1 unplaced genomic scaffold STEHIscaffold_6, whole genome shotgun sequence.
GGCCGCCUGGCGAAAUGGCAUCGCGUCUGACUACGAUCGAAAUGCUUCCGAUUCCGAGCGUUACUCGCUGAGAUCAGGAGAUUGCAGGUUCGACCCCUGCGGUGGUCA